rnacentral:rRNA from 1 species
UACGGGGGGGGCAAGCGUUGUUCGGAAUUACUGGGCGUAAAGGGCUCGUAGGCGGCCAACUAAGUCAGACGUGAAAUCCCUCGGCUUAACCGGGGAACUGCGUCUGAUACUGGAUGGCUUGAGGUUGGGAGGGGUAAGCGGAACUUUAGGUGUAGGAGUGAAAUCCGUAGAUAUCUAAAGGAACACCAAUGGCGAAGGCAGCUUACUGGGCUAUUUCUGACACUGAGAUGCGAAAGCGUGGGGAGCGAACGGG